rnacentral:rRNA from 1 species
GCGUAAGCGUGCGCAGGCGGUUGUGCAAGACCGAUGUGAAAUCCCCGAGCUUAACUUGGGAAUUGCAUUGGUGACUGCACGGCUAGAGUGUGUCAGAGGGGGGUAGAAUUCCACGUGUAGCAGUGAAAUGCGUAGAGAUGUGGAGGAAUACCGAUGGCGAAGGCAGCCCCCUGGGAUAACACUGAGUCGCUCAUGCACGAAAGCGUGCGGAGCAAACAGGAU